rnacentral:lncRNA from 1 species
CUCCCUGGAGGCCCAAAGCAGCUGCUCUCCCAAGGCAUUCCUACCAGGGAAGGAGACCCAGCUCCAGCAAAGAUGUCCUGACUGGGAAAGGCUGGGAACAUGGGCUCCAUGCAGACUCAUCCCUGUGAGCCGGGGUCUGUCAUCUGUGAAAUGGGGUCAGCUCACAGCUGGCCUCACUUGCUCCCCACAGUGUGCAUGUGAUGACAUGCUUGGGGCAGCAGCCACUUCCCGCCAAGGACCAUCUUCUCCCAGUGCAAGAUGCAGGCGUCUCAUGGGGCCAAGAAGACCCUAGUCCUUCAGUUGUGUCCCUGUGAAGAAAACAAGUCCCUGCAGGGUCUCGGUGCAUCGCGUGCAGAGUACCGCAAGUGUGAGUUUGCUAAGGUUUGCCUCGGAGGAAGCAACAGCCCCGAGUGCAGAACUCUUGCACGGGGAGGCCUGGGUAACUACUCUUUCCUUUAUACCAGGCCGUGAGGGCCGCAGGGCAGUUUGUCUCCCAAGGGUCCCAGGUCCAAACCUGGUUGGAUUGGGUAGGAUCUAUGGUGGCUGGGGGCGGGGUGGUGACUGGGGAGUCCCCUCCCCACAACAGAGAAGGGCGUCUUCAGGGCCACCGCUGCACAUGUGUCCCCAUCAACCCCAGGGGCGUCCCGCGACAUGCGCAGGGCAGUGUAGAAACCGCGAGGAAAGGGAGGCGCGCACCUCACCGGCUGCCCGGCGCCUCGCCGCGUCCUCAUCUGUGCCUCCGGGGACCUGUAAGGCAGAUGCUGGGGGCUGCACCCGGCCCCUCGGCUCAGCCGAGCCCUGCCCCCGCGCGGUCCCCGCCCGGCACGCCCAACUCUCCAGCGCCGCGUCUCGGCGAUGACCACCACCCGCCUCUGCGCCCCUGGACGCGCGAGCCGAGCCACCUAGGCGGCAAGCAGCGCCGGAACUUGGGGGCGCGGUGAGUGGGGGCGGGGCGCCGGCGGGCGGUGGCCCCUGCAGGGUGUCUGAUUCUGGCGCUAGAAGUCCUUCCCCGUCUCCACGAAUCGGGGCUGUUAGGUCCUUCCCUGCUCUCCGGGCUGGCUAUGUCCCGGACGCGACAGGUCCAGACGUGGGACACCUCCCUCAUCCGCGCUCGGGACGCGGUUUCUCCUUCCCUCUUCCUGGGGUUGAGGCCCGCGGGUUGGGCAUUGCGGCGAGCGGGCCCCAUGGUUUCGUUUGCUUUGUUACAGGCCCCCUUCGGCCCGCCUGGGUUUCGGUCCCGCCGCGGAGCGGCGAGAAGCUCCCGGAAGAGUCGCGAUGGCCGUGGAGUCCGGUCGUCGGCUCCGGGAGCGCGCGCCGGGAGGAGACGAGGGGCGCCGCGCUGUUUGCGCUGUCGCAGAGGACGCACCAGUCCCCGCGGGCGGCAGCGGUGGAGGGCCCGGGACCCGGUGCCUAUGGGGGACCGGCUCCAAGGCGGAGCGCGCUCGGUGCCCCGGCAGCGCGCCCUGCCGCGGCACCCCGGUCUUCUGUCCUAGCGUACACCCCACCCCGACGUGACUCGGGUGGUUGCAGCGCUCCCGCCCCGUUCCUGAGGGCUGGCGCCGCCCCCACCCGCCCCUCCGCGCCCUACCUGCACCCUUUUCCUUCUCAGGUGGAGGAGAGGGCCGGCGCCCGGUCCUCUGGAGAGAGACGACUCCACGGAUCUGGGACCCGAGAGACGCGUCUCUCGCCCCGGGGCCGGGUGGUUCGCGCAGGAGGAAGGACCGCGAAGCGGGCUCUGCCUGGGCUUGCCUGGGCUUGUUCAGAGCCGGGCUGCUUCCCUCAGUGGCCGCGCCGAUCUGGGGUGAUUUCGAGAUUUUGCGGGAGCCUUGGAGCCAAACCCCAGGGAGGAGGAGGCCGGAAGCCUGCGCGACCAGUUCGCCGUCCAAGGAUGGAGCCCAGGAGUCUCCCAAGACCCAGGACAUCCUCCCCAUUGAGUCUUCAGCACCCAGUGCAAGUAAUAUGUUAUGGGUGGGUUCAUGAAGGGGGCAUUCGUGCUUUCUGA